rnacentral:rRNA from 1 species
AGGACGAACGCUGGCGGCGUGCUUAACACAUGCAAGUCGAGCGGAAAGGCCCUUCGGGGUACUCGAGCGGCGAACGGGUGAGUAACACGUGAGCAACCUGCCCUUAGCUCUGGGAUAGCUCCGGGAAACCGGAAUUAAUACCAGAUACGACCACUUUAGACAUCUGUCGUGGUGGAAAGGAUUCCGGCUAGGGAUGGGCUCGCGGCCUAUCAGCUUGUUGGUGGGUAACGGCCUACCAAGGCGACGACGGGUA